AUAUUAAAAUGUUGAUUAAUUUAUUAAUUAAUAUUGCUCAUAUUUUAUCGACUUUGUCGCAUAAAGUUCUAGAUAGAAUACUGAUUAUGACAAUUUUCUAUCUAUGUGUCUUGACCAAAUUACGUGCCAGCAGUCGCGGUAAUACGUAGAAGACUAGUGUUAUUCAUCUUUAGUAGGUUUAAAGGGUACCUAGACGGUUUAAUUAGUCCAAAAUAGGAUACGGUUUUACUAGAGUUAUAUAUAAGAAGGUGAGUAUUUGUGGAGUAGAGUUGAAAUUCUUUGAUACCACGAGGACUGGUAACGGCGAAAGCAACCUUUUAUUUAAUAACUGACGUUGAGGGACGAAGGCUCGGGUAGCGAACAGGAUUAGAUACCCUAGUAGUCCAAGCAGAAAAUUAUGAAUGCCAUAGAUUAGAUAUUUUUAGUUUAUAAAUGAAA
rnacentral:rRNA from 1 species